CAUCGCGGCGGCCCGACGAACUCCGGCGAGCGGACCAAGAACUCGCGCGGCGGGUGGAGUGGCGAGGGCACCGAAUAUCCGCAGGCGCCACCGAGGUGAGGUCGGACUUGAAUGGCCGGGUCGCCGCCAACUACCCCCCAGGUGUUUGCGGUGGGUGGCACCACUUCUUGAAUACUGUACUAUACUGUUGGAUCUGGGACACGCAAUCACUCGCUCCGGUCCAGAGAUGCCAGUCGGUCGCGCCGAGCAGCGGCAGUUGUUCCAGUGAGGCCNNNNNNNNNNNNNNNNNNNNNNNNNNNNNNNNNNNNNNNNNNNNNNNNNNNNNNNNNNNNNNNNNNNNNNNNNNNNNNNNNNNNNNNNNNNNNNNNNNNNNNNNNNNNNNNNNNNNNNNNNNNNNNNNNNNNNNNNNNNNNNNNNNNNNNNNNNNNNNNNNNNNNNNNNNNNNNNNNNNNNNNNNNNNNNNNNNNNNNNNNNNNNNNNNNNNNNNNNNNNNNNNNNNNNNNNNNNNNNNNNNNNNNNNNNNNNNNNNNNNNNNNNNNNNNNNNNNNNNNNNNNNNNNNNNNNNNNNNNNNNNNNNNNNNNNNNNNNNNNNNUGGACGUCCGGAUUGGCCGGAUUUUGUCCGUUUGAGAUGCUGAUGGAUUUGUCCGUAUCUGGCUUUGUCCGUUGGGUCGUGCGUGCGUCCACCGCGCGGCCGCACCCCAAAUCAUGUCGGGAGUGGACGUGGAUAAAAAAAUAUAAAAACUAGAAUGAAAUGACUUAAAAAGUAAAUAAACGCAUUUAAAAAAAUAUAAAACAUAUAUAGGGGUCACGGCCAUAAAAUGGCCCACUCUCUCAAUCCACUUAAACGGCCCAGUUUCAUAAUUAACAUAAAAACAAAAUAAAAAAAGCCUCCCGCGCGCUCCUGCCGCGCCCGUCGGUGCCGUCGCCGUCUUCACUGGCCGCCGGUGUCGUCAUCGUCGCUGACGAGGUCGACGUAGGCCGGCGGCGCCUGAUGAAACCAUGUACCUAGGGUAGGGUCAUGGACUUGUCCAAGACACCCUACCCAAGGACAUCUCUAGAAGACAUCACCUUUCAGUCGACCUGCAAAGGUUCCACUCGACGGACUCGAAGAUACUCGACCACGAAACCAAGCACUCGACCAAUAGGAAACCUAAAGUCACUCUGCACGUAACAGUAUGUCAUUAAGUAGCCUUUAUGGUCUUCAUAGCACUUUAUGUGGGCGUUACCAGUAACCCCCUGUCUUAAUGUACUUUAAACCUGCAUAACUGAGGGCUGGAGGGGUCUGGCGAACUCUAUAUAAGCCACCCCCUCCUCAGUGUAAAGGGUUCGCACCCCUGUAACUUAUACACAUAUAAUCCAGUCGACCGCCUCCGGGCUCCGAGGCGUAGGGCUGUUACUUCCUCCGAGAAGGGCCUGAACUCGUAAAACUCGUGCGUAUACAACUACUCCAUAGCUAGGAUCUUGCCUCUCCAUUAGUACCCCCUACACUACUGUCAGACUUAGAACCACGACAGUUGGCGCCCACCGUGGGGCAGGUGUCUUAGCGACUUAUUGAAGAAGUUACAAUUUUUUCGAUCUCCUUCAUCAUGGUUUCAAGCGGAGUUUUGGUCGAGGGCCGCGAGAUCCAUCUCGGCGCGCUCACGUUCAUCGCCGACGACUUUGCUUGGCUUCAGGAGGCUCCACUCAACAUCGACACGCUCCCAGUCCGCGGAGCGACGCACUUUCGCGCGUGCGUCCGUGACGUCCUCCUACGACAACCGUUGACCCAGUAUCGGUCGGUCGUUGUGUCAUCCUCCCUCCCUGCUUCCCGCCGGCGCAAGCGCUCCGGUCGGUCAAGGCUUCAGCGGUGGGUGAGGCACGCGGCGGCCCGCUAGUCGGCCACCCCUCAAGUCGCGGCAAUCGAGCCCGACGAAUCUCUCUACGGCCUAUUCGACCUGUCGACUGGCUCUGCAGAGACUGCAUCCGAAUGCGACACUAGUGAUCCAGCGGCGGAGGUUCUGAUGGUCGAUGGACCACGCGGUCCUCCCGGUUUUCCCGGCGACGACGGAGGCGACCCGUCGCGUGCCCAUGAGGAGUAUCACCCCGAGCCCCUCACUUUGCUGCAAAGGGAAGAACUUCGCCGCCGGAACAUGGAUGCACUUCACACUCCUAUCGUUGGAGAAACCCCUGAGGCUCGUGCCUUAGAGGACGCGCGCUUGGCCAACUUGGCUGAGCGCACUCGACUGGAGAACCUUCAGCGAGCACUCGACGAGCGUGCGCGGCAACGGGUUCCGGACUCCAGUCGGCGUCAGCUCUUUCCACCACCGACUCGGGUAUAUCGAACUCCGAUUCAGAAUUUAGCAGCUGCAGCCCGUAUAGCAGAGUCAAUUCAGCCUUCCCAGUCAGAGGCUGGCAGAGGCUUGAUGCAGAUCAGAGAUUUGCUCCGGGCAGCAGGAGAUCAAAAUUUAGCUGUAUCACAGUCGUGGAAUAGGAUUCACAGCAGAUCCGUAGCUGCGAAUACAGUCCAGUCGGCUCAUAGCCCCAGAUCGCCCCCGAGGCGUGAGGGGCGUGGAGACCGGCACGAUCAGUACAAGAACCGUGAGCAGUAUGAUCACCGAUUCGAUCGCGAUGAUCAACGUCGAGUGCCCACCCCUCCCUCAAGGGGUGGAUCGUACGCACCUCGACAACAGGAUGAUAGACGCCAGCACAGUGGUGGGCGAAGGAUUCCAGUCGACCCCAGGGAACCAGGCUUUGACGCGAGAUCCAUCAUCGUUCAAGGUCUGGUCGACAGGAACAGAGCUCACCGAGAGGGUCACGACAGAGAUGUACCCACCAACAGCCGAGUGCAUGUCCCAGGACCAGAGUGUUUCAGCAGAGCCAUCAGGGCCGCGGUGAUUCCCCCCAACUUCAGGUUGGCGACUGGAGUCAGUAAGUUCAAUGGUGAGUCUAAGCCUGAUACUUGGCUUGAAGACUACCGAGUGGCUGUCCAGAUCGGCGUUGGAAAUGAUGAGGUGGCCAUGAAACAUCUGCCUCUUAUGUUGGAAGGAUCGGUGAGAGCAUGGUUGAAUCAGUUGACACCCAGCAGCAUUUACACGUGGGAAGAUCUUUCCCGGGUGUUUGUUAGAACGUUUGAAGGAACAUGCAAGCGACCAGCAGGACUGACAGAGUUGCAAACUUGUGUGCAGAAGUCGGAUGAGACUUUGAGAGAUUACAUCCAGAGAUGGAUCACAUUACAUCACACGGUAGAGAAUGUAUCUGAUCACCAGGCGGUCUGUGCCUUCAAGGAAGGCGUUAAGUACAGAGAGCUAAGCCUGAAAUUCGGUUGAACCGGAGACAUGUCUGUGAGUCGAAUGAUGGAGAUAGCCACCAAAUAUGCCAAUGGUGAAGAAGAAGAUCGGCUAUGGGUGGCAAGCACAAGUCAGUCGCCCAGGAAACCGGAGGAGGGAACUCCAGUCGGAAGCAAAAGCGAAAAGCCGAGCCAGCUGCUCCUGGAGAAGCAUUGGCCGUGACUCAAGGAAAGUUUAAAGGGAAGCCCAAAGGACCUUGGAACCCCAAGAAGGUGAAAGACAAGGAGGGAAAUGACGUGCUGGAUUUGCCAUGCCACAUCCACACGAAGAAAGAUGAAGAGGGUAACUUCAUUUACCCAAAACAUACCACUCGACAGUGUCGGCUCUUGAUACAACAAUUUCAAGGGAAACAACCCAAAGAUAAGGAAAAGGAGUCGGACAAAGUUGAGGACAAGGGGGAUAGUGAUGAGGAAUAUCCCCAGGUCAAUUCCACUCUGGUGAUUUUUGCUGACGUUGAGAGCAAAAGUCGAUUGAAAGUUAUCAACCAAGAAGUGAAUAUGGUUGCUCCGGAGACUCCCAAUUAUCUGAAAUGGUCUCAAACUGCCAUCACGUUCGACCAGUCCGAUCACCCGACACACAUAGCCACCCCUGGGAGGCAAGCUCUGGUGGUUGACCCAGUCGUCAAAGGCACUCGACUGACUAAAGUGUUGAUGGAUGGUGGCAGUAGCUUGAAUAUACUGUACAUAGAGACGCUAAAAGGGAUGGGCAUUCCGAUGUCCAGACUCAGUACCAACAACAUGAGUUUCUAUGGAGUCAUUCCUGGCAAGAAGGCUGCAUCAGUCGGCCAGAUUGCUCUUGAUGUGGUUUUCGGUGAUUCCAAAAAUUUCCGCAAGGAAAAGUUGACAUUUGAGGUUGUGGAUUUCCAGAGUGCCUAUCAUGCUAUUUUGGGCAGGCCAGCUUAUGCACGUUUUAUGGCUCGACCAUGUUACGUGUACCUCAAAUUGAAGAUGCCUGGCCCCAAAGGUGUGAUCACUGUUACUGGCAAUCGGAAGAAGGCGAAAGAGUGCUUUCAGAAAGGCUCAAAGAUCACCUACGCUCAGAUGGUAGCAGAAGAGUGGUAGGAACACCAGAGAAAUGCGGACCCAAGUGAUUUGUUGCGAGCUAAGAAGCCCGCUACAGAAUCAGCGUUUCAGUCGUCCGGUGAGACAAAGCCAGUUCACAUCCACCCGACCGACCCCUGUUGGGGAACGUAGCAGAAAUUCAAAAAAUUUCCUACGUGUCACCAAGAUCUAUCUAUGGAGAAACCAGCAACGAGGGGAAGGAGAGUGCAUCUACAUACCCUUGUAGAUCGCUAAGCGAAAGCGUUCAAGAGAACGGGGUUGAAGGAGUCGUACUCGUCGUGAUCCAAAUCACCGGAGAUCCUAGUGCCGAACGGACGGCACCUCCGCGUUCAACACAUGUACAGCCCGGUGACGUCUCCCAUGCCUUGAUCCAGCAAGGAGAGAGGGAGAGGUUGAGGAAGACUCCGUCCAGCAGCAGCACAACGGCGUGGUGGUGGUGGAGGAGCGUGGCAAUCCUGCAGGGCUUCGCCAAGCACCGUGAGAUAUGAGGAGAAAGAGAGGUAGGGCUGCGCCAACAGGAGAAGAACUUCGUGUGUUGGGCUGCUCCUAUACCUCCACUAUAUAGAGGAGAAGAGGGGGGGCUGCGCCCCCACCUAGGGUUCCACCCCUAGGGGCCGCGGCCAGCCCAAAACCCAUCUAGGGUACGGCCAAGGGGGGGAAGAGGGGAAACUUGCCCCCCAAGUUAGGUGGGUGCGCCCCCUUCCCCAAACCCUAGGCGCCUUGGGCACUUGUGGGGGGGGGGGGCGCACCAGCCCACCUGGGGCUGGUCCACUCCCACACUUGGCCCAUACAGCCCUCCGGGGAUGGUGGCCCCACUUGGUGGACCCCUGGGACCCUCCCGGUGGUCCCGGUACGUUACUGAUAAAACCCGAAACUUUUCCGGUGACCAAAACAGGACUUCCCAUAUAUAAAUCUUUACCUCCGGACCAUUCCGGAACUCCUCGUGACGUCCAGGAUCUCAUCCAGGACUCCGAACAACAUUCGGUAACCACGUAUAUCUAUUCCCUAUAACCCUAGCGUCAUCGAACCUUUAGUGUGUAGACCCUACGGGUUCGGGAACCAUGCAGACAUGACCGAGACGUUCUCCGGUCAAUAACCAACAGCGGGAUCUGGAUACCCAUGUUUGCUCCCACAUGUUCCACGAUGAUCUCAUCGGAUGAACCAUGAUGUCAAGGACUCAAUCAAUCCUGUAUACAAUUCCCUUUGUCUAGCGGUAUUGUACUUGCCCGAGAUUCGAUCGUCGGUAUGCCGAUACCUUGUUCAAUCUCGUUACCGGCAAGUCUCUUUACUCGUUCCGUAACACAUCAUCCCGUGAUCAACCCCUUGGUCACAUUGUGCACAUUAUGAUGAUGUCCUACCGAGUGGGCCCAGAGAUACCUCUCCGUCAACCGGAGUGACAAAUCCUAGUCUCGAUUCGUGCCAACCCAACAGACACUUUCGGAGAUACCCGUAGUGCACCUUUAUAGCCACCCAGUUAUGUUGUGACGUUUGGUACACCCAAAGCAUUCCUACGAUAUCCGGGAGUUGCACAAUCUCAUGGUCUAAGGAAAUGAUACUUGACAUUAGAAAAGCUUUAGCAUAUGAACUACACGAUCUUUGUGCUAGGCUUAGGAUUGGGUCUUGUCCAUCACAUCAUUCUCCUAAUGAUGUGAUCCCGUUAUCAACGACAUCCAAUGUCCAUGGUCAGGAAACCGUAACCAUCUAUUGAUCAACGAGCUAGUCAACUAGAGGCUUACUAGGGACAUGGUGUUGUCUAUGUAUCCACACAUGUAUCUGAGUUUCCUAUCAAUACAAUUAUAGCAUGGAUAAUAAACGAUUAUCAUGAACAAGGAAAUAUAAUAAUAAUAACUAAUUUAUUAUUGCCUCUAGGGCAUAUUUCCAACAGUCUCCCACUUGCACUAGAGUCAAUAAUCCAGUUCACAUCGCCAUGUGAUUAACACUCAUAGGUCAUAUUGCCAUGUGACCAACAUCCAAAGAGUUUACUAGUGUCACUAAACUAGUUCACAUCAUCAUGUGAUUAAGACUCAAUGAGUUCUGGGGUUUGAUCAUGUUUUGCUUGUGGGAGAGGUUUUAGUCAACGGGUCUGCAACAUUCAGAUUCAUAUGUACUUCGCAAAUCUCUAGAUCAUAUUGUAAAUGCUGCUUCCACGCUCCACUUGGAGCUAUUCCAAAUGGUUGCUCCACUAUACGUAUCCGGUUUGCUACUCAGAGUCACUCGGAUAGGUGUUAAAGCUUGCAUCGACGUAACCCUUUACGUCAAACUCUUUAUCACCUCCAUAAUCGAGAAACAUAUCCUUAUUCCUCUAAGUAUAAUUUUGACCGCCAUCUGGUGAUCCACUCCUUGAUCACCUUUGUACCCUCUUGCCAGAUAUGUAGCAAGGCAAACAUCAGGUGCGGUACACAGCAUAGCAUACUAUAGAGCCUACGUCUGAAGCAUAGGGGACGACCUUCGUCCUUUCUCUCUCUUCUGCCGUGGUCGAGCUUUAACUCUUAACUUCAUACCUUACAACUCAGGCAAGAACUCCUUCUUUGACUGAUCCAUCUUGAACACCUUCAAGAUUAUGUCAAGGUAUGUGCUCAUUUGAAAUUACCAUUGAGCGGUUUUUGAUCUAUCCUCAUAGAUCUUGAUGCUCAAUGUUCAAGCAGCUUAAUCCAGGUUUUCUAUUGAAAAACACCUUUCAAAUAACCCUAUAUGCUUUCCAGAAAUUCUACAUCAUUUCUGAUCAACAAUAUGUCAACAACAUAUACUCAUCAGAAAUUCUAUAGUGCUCCCACUCACUUCUUUGGAAAUACAAGUUUCUCAUAAACUUUGUAUAGACCCAAAAUCUUUGAUCAUCUCAUCAAAGCGUACAUUCCAACUCCGAGAUGUUUACUCUAGUCCUUAGAAGGAUUCCUGGAGCUUUGCAUACUUGUUAGCGUCUUUCAGGAUUGUCAAAAACCUUCUGGUUGUAUCACAUACAACCUUUCCUCAAGAAAACUGUCAAGGAAAUAAUGUUUUGACAUCCUAUAUGCAAGAUUUCAUAAAUAAUGCAGUAACUGCUAAUCCAAUUCCAACAGACUCUUAGCAUCGCUAUGAGUGAGAAAGCCUCACCGUAGUCAACUCCUUGAACUUGUCGGAAAACAUCUUUAACGACAAGUCGAGCUUUCUUAAUGGUGAUACUUACCAUCAUUGUCUGUCUUCCUUUUAAAAUCCAUCUUUACCCAAUGGCCUUACGACCAUCUAGUAUUUCUUCCAAAGUCAUGGAUCCUCUCUCAGAUUUUAUGGCCUCGAGCCAUUCAUCGGAAUCCAGGCCCACCAUCGCUUCUUCCAUAGCUCGUAGGUUCAUUGUUGUCUAGCAACAUGACCUCUAAGACAGGAUUGCGUACCACUCUGAAGUAGUACGCGUCCUUGUCGACCUACAAGGUUCGGCAGUGACUUGAUCCGAAGCAUCAUGAUCACUAUCAUCGUCUUCCGCUUCAAUUGGUGUAGGUGCCACAUGAACAACUUCUUGUGCCCUGCUACACACUGGUUGAAGUGAUGGUUCAAUAACCUCAUCAAGUCUCCACCAUCCUCCCACUCAAUUCUUUCGAGAGAAACUUUUCCUCGAGAAAGGACCCGUUUCUAGAAACAAUUACUUUUGCUUCCGGAUCUGAGAUAGGAGGUAUACCCAACUGUGGGUGUCCUAUGAAGAUGCAUUUUUAUCCGCUUUGGGUUCGAGCUCAUCAACCUGAAACUUUUUCACAUAAGCGUCGCAGCCCCAAACUUUUAAGAAACGACAACUUAGGUUUCUCCAAACCAUAGUUCAAACGAAUUCAUCUCAACGGAAUUACGUGGUGCCCUAUUAAAGUGAGUGCGGUUGUCUCUAAUGCCUAACCCAUGAACGAUAGUGGUAAUUCGAUAAGAGAUAUCAUGGUACGCACCAUAUCCAAUAGGGUGCAACUAUGAUGUUCGGACAUACCAUCACACUAUGGUGUUCCAGGCGGUAUUAAUUGUGAAACAAUUUCCACAAUGUCUUAAUUGCAUGCCAAAGCUCGUAACUCAGAUACUCAUCUCUAUGAUCAUAUCAUAGACAUUUUAUCCUGUUGUCACGAUGAUCUUCAACUUCACUUUGAAAUUACUUGAACCAUUCAAUAAUUCAGACUUGUGUUUCAUCAAGUAAAUAUACUCAACAUCUACUCAAAUCAUCUGUGAAGUAAGAACAUAACGAUAUUCACUGCAUGCCUCAACACUCACUGGACUGCACACAUCAAAAUGUGUUACUUCCAACAAGUUGCUAUCUUGUUCCAUCUUACUGAAAACGAGGCUUUUCAGUCAUCUUGCCCAUGUGGUAUGAUUUGCAUAUCUCAAGUGAUUCAAAAUCAAGUGAGUCCAAACGAUCCAUCUGCAUGGAGUUUCUUCAUGCGUAUACACUAAUAGACAUGGUUCACAUGUCUCAAACUUUUCAAAAAUGAGUGAGUCCAAAGAUCCAUCAACAUGGAGCUUCUUCAUGCGUUUUACACCAAUAUGACUUACAUGGCAGUGCCACAAGUAAGUGGUACUAUCAUUACUAUCUUAUAUCUUUUGGCAUGAAAAUGUGUAUCACUAUGAUCGAGAUUCAAUAAACCAUUCCUUUUAGGUGCAAGACCAUUGAAGGUAUUAUUCAAAUAAACAGAGUAACCAUUAUUCUCCUUAAAUGAAUAACCGUAUUGCGAUAGACAUAAUCCAAUCAUGUCUAUGCUCAAUGCAAACACCAAAUAACAAUUAUUUAGGUUUAUCACCAAUCUCGAUGGUAGAGGGAGCGUGCGAUGCUUGAUCAGAUCAACCUUGGAAACAUUUCCAACACAUAUCGUCAGCUCACCUUUAGCUAGUCUCCGUUUAUUCCGUAGCUUUUAUUUCGAGUUACUAACACUUAGCAACCGAACCGGUAUCUAAUACCCUGGUGCUACUAGGAGUACUAGUAAAGUACACAUCAACAUAAUGUAUAUCCAAUAUACUUCUAUCGACCCUGCCUGCCUUCUUAUCUACCAAGUAUCUAGGGUGGUUCUGCUUCAGUGUCCAUUCCUCUCAUCACAGAAGCACUUAGUCUCGGGUUUGGGUUCAACCUUGGGUUUCUUCACUAGAGCAGCAACUGAUUUGCCGUUUCAUGAAGUACCCCUUCUUGCCCUUGCCCUUCUUGAAACUAGUGGUUUCACUAACCAUCAACAAUUGAUGCUCCUUCUUGAUUUCUACUUUUGCGGUGUCAAACAUCACGAAUAUUUCAAGGAUCAUCAUAUCUAUCCCUGAUAUGUUAUAGUUCAUCACGAAGCUCUAGCAGCUUGGUGGCAAUGUCUUUGGAGAAACAUCACUAUCUCAUCUGGAAGAUUAACUCCCACACGAUUCAAGUGCUUGUUGUACACAGACAAUUUGAGCACAAGCUCAACGAUUGAGAUCUUCUCCCUUAGUUUGUAGGCUAGAAAACUCGUGGGAGGUCUUAUACCUCUUGACGUGGACACGAGCCCGAAAUCCCAAUUUCAGCCCUCAGAACAUCUCAUAUGUUCCGUGACGUUUCAAAAUCGUCUUCGGUGCCUCAAUUCUAAACCAUUCAACAUUACCGAACUAUCAUGUAGUCAUCAAAACGUGUAUGUCAGAUGUUCGCAACAUCCACGGACCACAUUCGAGGUCCAGCACACCGAGCGGUGCAUUAAGGACAUAAGCCUUCUUUUGUCCGCAUAAUUGCUACUGUCAACUUUCAACUAUAUUUUCUCUAGGAACAUAUCUAAAACAGUAGAACUAAAGCGCGAGCUAUGACAUAAUUUGCAAAGGGCUUUUGACUAUGUUUAGGAUAAUUAAGUUCAUCUAAUGAACUCCCACUCAGAUAGACAUCCCUCUAGUCAUCUAAGUGAUUACAUGAUCCGAGUCAACUAGGGCGUGUCCGAUCAUCACGUGAGACGGACUAGUCAUCAUCGAUGAACAUCUUCAUGUUGAUCGUAUCUACUAUACGACUCAUGCUCGACCUUUCGGUCUCUUGUGUUCCGAGGCCAUGUCUGUACAUGCUAGGCUCGUCAAGUUAACCUAAGUGUUUCGCGUGUGCAAAUCUGGCUUACACCCAUUGUAUGUGAACGUUAGAAUCUAUCACACCCGAUCAUCACGUGGUGCUUUGAAACGACGAACUUUCGCAACGGUGCACAGUUAAGGGGAACACUUUCUUGAAAUUUUAAUGAGGGAUCAUCUUAUUUACUACCGUCGUUCUAAGCAAAUAAGAUGCAUAAACAUGAUAAACAUCACAUGCAAUCAAAAUAGUGACAUGAUAUGGCCAAUAUCAUUUUGCUCCUUUUGAUCUCCAUCUUUGGGGCUCCAUGAUCAUCAUCGUCACCGGCAUGACACCAUGAUCUCCAUCAUCGUGUCUUCAUGAAGUUGUCUCGCCAACUAUUACUUCUACUACUAUGGCUACCGGUUAGCAAUAAAGUAAAGUAAUUACAUGGCGUUGUUCAAUGACACGCAGGUCAUACAAUAAAUAAAGACAACUCCUAUGGCUCCUGCCGGUUGUCAUACUCAUCGACAUGCAAGUCGUGAUUCCUAUUACAAGAACAUGAUCAAUCUCAUACAUCACAUAUCAUUCAUCACAUUCUUCUUGGCCAUAUCACAUCACAUAGCAUACCCUGCAAAAACAAGUUAGACGUCCUCUAAUUGUUGUUUGCAUGUUUUACGUGGCUGCUAUGGGUUUCUAGCAAGAACAUUUCUUACCUACGUAAAAGCCACAACGUGAUAUGCCAAUUGCUAUUUACCCUUCAUAAGGACCCUUUUCAUCGAAUCCGAUCCGACUAAAGUGGGAGAGACUGGCACCCGCUAGCCACCUUAUGCAACAAGUGCAUGUUAGUAGGUGGAACCUGUCUCAAGUAAGAGUACGUGUAAGGUCGGUCCGGGCCGCUUCAUCCCACAAUACCGUCGAAACAAGAUUGGACUAGUAACGGUAAGCAUAUUGAACAAAAUCAAUGCCCACAACUACUUUGUGUUCUACUCAUGCAAAGAAUCUACGCAAUAGACCUAGCUCUGAUACCACUAUUGGGGAACGUAGCAGAAAUUCAAAAAAAUUCCUACGUGUCACCAAGAUCUAUCUAACCAGCACGAGGGGAAGGAGAGUGCAUCUACAUACCCUUGUAGAUCGCUAAGCGGAAGCGUUCAAGAGAACGGGGUUGAAGGAGUCGUACUCGUCGUGAUCCAAAUCACCGGAGAUCCUAGUGCUGAACGAACGGCACCUCCGUGUUCAACACACGUACAACCCGGUGACGUCUCCCAUGCCUUGAUCCAGCAAGGAGAGAGGGAGAGGUUGAGGAAGACUCCGUCCAGCAGCAACACAACGGCGUGGUGGUGGUGGAGGAGCGUGGCAAUCCUGUAGGGCUUCGCCAAGCACCGCGAGAUAUGAGGAGAAAGAGAGGUAGGGCUGCGCCAAGAGGAGAAGAACUUCGUGUGUUGGGCUGCUCCUAUGCCUCCACUAUAUAUAGGGGAAGAGGGGGGCUGCGCCCCCACCUAGGGUUCCACCCCUAGGGGCGGCGGCCAGCCCAAAACCCAUCUAGGGUGCGGCCAAGGGGGGGGGGAAGAGGGGAAACUUGCCCUCCAAGUUAGGUGGGUGCGCCCCCUUCCCCAAACCCUAGGCGCCUUGGGCCCUUGUGGGGGGCACACCAGCCCACCUGGGGCUGGUCCCCUCCCGCACUUGGCCCAUACAGCCCUCUGGGGAUGGUGUCCCCACUUGGUGGACCCCCGGGACCCUCCCGAUGGUCCCGAUACGUUACCGAUAAAACCCGAAACUUUUCCGGUGACCAAAACAGGACUUCCCAUAUAUAAAUCUUUACCUCCGGAUCAUUCCGGAACUCCUCGUGACGUCCGGGAUCUCAUCCGGGACUCCUAACAACAUUUGGUAACCACGUAUAUCUAUUCCCUAUAACCCUAGCGUCAUCGAACCUUAAGUGUGUAGACAUGACUGAGACGUUCUCCGAUCAAUAACCAACAGCGGGAUCUGGAUACCCAUGUUGGCUCCCACAUGUUCCACGAUGAUCUCAUCGGAUGAACCACGAUGUCAAGGACUCAAUCAAUCCCGUAUACAAUUCCCUUUGUCUAGCGGUGUUGUACUUGCCCGAGAUUCGAUCGUCGGUAUGGCAAUACCUUGUUCAAUCUAGUUACCGGCAAGUCUCUUUACUCGUUCCAUAACACAUCAUCCCGUGAUCAACCCCUUAGUCACAUUGUGCACAUUAUGAUGAUGUCCUACCGAGUGGGCCCAGAGAUACCUCUCCGUCAACCGGAGUGACAAAUCCCAGUCUCGAUUCAUGCCAACCCAACAGACACUUUCGGAGAUACCCGUAGUGCACCUUUAUAGCCACCCAGUUACGUUGUGACGUUUGGUGCACCCAAAGCAUUCCUACGGUAUCCGGGAGUUGCACAAUCUCAUGGUCUAAGGAAAUGGUACUUGACAUUAGAAAAGCUUUAGCAUACGAACUACACGAUCUUUGUGCUAGGCUUAGGAUUGGGUCUUGUCCAUCACAUCAUUCUCCUAAUGAUGUGACCCCGUUAUCAAUGACAUCCAAUGUCCAUGGCUAGGAAACCAUAACCAUCUAUUGAUCAACGAGCUAGUCAACUAGAGGCUUACUAGGGACAUGGUGUUGUCUAUGUAUCCACACAUGUAUCUGAGUUUCCUAUCAAUACAAUUAUAGCAUGGAUAAUAAACGAUUAUCAUGAACAAGGAAAUAUAAUAAUAAUAAAUAAUUUAUUAUUGCCUCUAGGGCAUAUUUCCAACAACCCCAACGCCGCUCCGACCAAUAUCUCUACAACACUCGACCCCAAAUAGGAAGAAGCGCUCAUCCAGUUCCUCCGUGAGAACUGGGACAUCUUCGCAUGGAAACCUUCUGACAUGUCGGGUGUUCCCAGGGGGCUGGCUGAGCAUCGCCUAUGAGUCAACUCAAAAGCGAAACCUGUUAAAGAACAUCUUUGACGGUCCGCCGUCGAGAAAAGAAAGGACAUUGGCGAGGAGGUGGCUCGGCUCUUAGCAACAGAGUUUAUCCGAGAAAUUUACCACUCCGAGUGGCUCGCCAAUGUUGUCAUGGUUCCCAAGAAGGACAAGUCACUUCGCAUGUGCAUUGACUUUAAACAUAUCAAUCGGUCCUGCCCAAAAGAUCAUUUUCCUCUCCCCCGCAUCGACCAAAUAGUCGACUCGACUGCGGGAUGUGAGCGACUGUCUUUCUUAGACGCCUAUUCCGGGUACCAUCAGAUCCGUCUGUAUGGACCCGAUGAGAUCAAAACAGCUUUCAUCACCCCAUUCGGGUGCUUCUGUUAUGUCACCAUGCCAUUCGGCCUCAAGAAUGCCGGAGCCAUGUUCAUGAGGAUGAUUCAGAAGUGUUUGCUCACUCAAAUCAGUCGGAAUGUGGAAGCGUACAUGGAUGAUAUUGUGGUCAAGUCACGGAAAGGUUCCGACCUGCUGACUGGCCUUGCUGAAACAUUUGCCAACCUCAGGAGGUAUGAUAUCAAGCUUAAUCUAUCAAAGUGCACAUUCGGAGUUCCUGGCGGAAAAUUACUUGGUUUUCUCGUUUCCGAACGAGGAAUCGACGCAAAUCCAGAGAAAGUGGGCACUAUACUUCGAAUGAAAAGACCUGUGCGUGUGCAUGAUGUUCAGAAGCUUACUGGUUGCUUGGCCGCUUUAAGUCGAUUCAUCUCUCAUCUCGGUGAAAAGGCAUUGCCUCUUUACCGACUGAUGAAGAAGUCAGACAAGUUCGAGUGGACUCCUGAAGCUGAUGCAGCGUUUGCAGAGCUAAAAGCCCUGCUUUCCACCCAGCCGGUGCUUGCUGCCCCGAUCAGCAAAGAGCCUUUGCUGCUUUACAUUGCAGCCACAGGACAAGUCGUCAGUACAGUACUUACGGUUGAGCGGGAAGAAGAAGGAAAAGCCUUUAAAGUUCAGCGCCCAGUAUAUUACAUUUCUGAAGUCCUGACCCCAUCAAAGCAAAGAUACCCUCACUAUCAGAAGCUUGUAUAUGGGAUUUACAUGACCAUGAAGAAAGUUGCUCAUUACUUCUCUGACCAUACCAUUACAGUCGUCAGCGACACCCCAUUGUCAGAGAUUCUGCACAACAGAGAUGCAACUGGUCAAGUGGCAAAAUGGGCGAUUGAACUCCUUCCCCUGGGUAUCAGAUUUGAGGCAAAGAAAGCUAUCAAGUCCCAAGCAAUAUAUGAUUUCAUCGCCGAGUGGAUCGAACAACAACUGCCAACUCAAGUUCACUCGGAGCACUGGACCAUGUUCUUUGAUGGCUCUAAAAUGCUAAAUGGUUCUGGUGCUGGGGUAGUGUUGGUUUCCCCCCGAGGAGAUAAGCUCAGAUACGCACUCCAGAUUCACUUUGAUUCCUCCAACAACGAAGCAGAAUAUGAAGCACUUCUGUAUGGGUUGCGUAUGGCCAUUUCACUCGGUGUCUGUUGCCUCAUGGUCUACGACGACUCGGAUUUGGUGGUUAACCAAGUGAUGAAGGAGUGGGACGUCAGAAGCCCAACCAUGACUGGUUACUGCAAUGCAGUAAGAAAGCUGGAGAAGAAAUUCGAGGGGUUAGAGCUUCAUCAUAUACCCCGACUGAAAAAUCAAGCAGCUGAUGAUUUGGCAAAGGUAGGUUCUAAGAGAGAAACCAUUCCCAGUGGUGUGUUUUUAGAACAUAUCCACGCCCCGUCAGUUCAAGAGGAUCCUUUCACCGAAGAAGCCCCGCAACCAAAAAGUGCCACAGAUCCGACUGAAGUCGAGGUCCCAGCCGUGGUCGACCUGAUCAUGGAAGUUUUGGUUAUCACUCUCGACUGGACAGUGCUUUACAUCACAUGUAUCCUAAGGAAAGAGCUCCUAGAGAAUGAAGAAGAGGCUCGACAGAUUGUCCGUCGAUCCAAGGCCUUUACUGUGAUGAAGGGACAGUUGUACAGAGAAAGUGCAACUGGAGCCAGUCAGAAAUGCAUAACGCCGGAAGAGGGUCGGAUAAUUCUUAACGACAUCCACUCGAGGACCUGUGGCCAUCAUGCGUCCUCUCGGACUAUUGUGGCCAAAGCAUACCGAGCGGGUUUUUACUGGCCCAGAGCAAAUGAAAUGGCGAAAGAGAUAGUCGACAAGUGUGAAGGAUGUCAGUUCUACUCCAGUAUGUUGCACAAGCCCGCCUCAGCCUUGAAGACCAUUCCAAUCGUCUGACCCUUCGCUGUUUGGGGAUUAGAUAUGGUUGGGCCACUGAGAACUGGCAGGAGCGGCUUCACCCAUGUACUGGUGGCCGUCGACAAGUUCACCAAGUGGAUCGAAGCCAAGCCUAUUAAAAAUCUUGAUGCCGGCACUGCCAUCAGCUUCAUCAGAGAAUUAAUAUUCAGAUAUGGAGUUCCGCAUAGCAUCAUCACCGAUAACGGGUCAAACUUCGAUUCCGACCAAUUCAAAGCCUUUUGUGCUUCUCAAGGCACACGAGUCGACUACACUUCAGUUGCCCACCCCUAGUCGAAUGGACAAGCAGAAAGAGCAAACGGCCUAAUUCUCAAAGGACUGAAACCCCGGUUGAUGCGUGAUCUCAAGCACGCAGCAGGCGCGUGGGUUGACGAACUUCCAUCAGUUCUUUGGGGAUUGUCGGAGUAAUGGGCCACGGGUAGGCUAACCCGAGCCCCAGGACAUUUCAAGACAUCGGGGCAGGCCGCGCCCCUCAGGCCGAGUCCUGGGAGCGACUCCAAAAUAUGCUGAGUCUCAGACGGCGACUCCAACAUAAGCCGACUCCAGGCUGGCAACCUCCAGAAGGGCCAACUAUGGAGAGUCGGCCCAAGACUCCUCCCUCAUCUCAAAGUAUGAUGUGGGGCACAGUCACGGCAUGGCCGUUUCCCCCUGCUUACAAAGGACCGGCAUGGCUACAGUGAGCCGUAUCGCUGGAAGAUCUCCGGCGAGAUGCGGCACUAUUGCCAUGCCUGCCCUGACCUCAGCCACAGUGCGCAGUACACUGUGCCCACGACGCCGGCCUGAACGGCCCGAAGACGGCGGGGCCGCCUGUCAGUGGGUGGGCCAAAGGCGGCCUGGGCACCCCGAAGACGGACCUGUGGGAGUCGGCCCCCCAGGAGUCGGCUGACUCCCCUCCAGGGCCCCACGAGCCAUUAACCAGAUAGGAUGGGGAAUGGCGACGGUGAUUGCCCGAUGGACGGCGGCACUGUUGCCAUGACCCAAUGACCGAGCCUGCGUCAUCAAGGGUGCCACUACAGUAUCAAGCCUGUCCGCGGGACCCGCCAGUCGGUGGGCCCCAGAAGCCGGCGGGAAAGACAGCGGCCUGAGAGACAGACGGCUGGGACCCGUGCCCAGCCGGAUUACUAUUGUACCCCCGGGGGGUAGGCCUAUAUAAACCCCCCGGGGCACCCAUGCAAAGGGUUCGGACCGAGAUAGAGAUAGGCCAGAUAGCACAGGGAGGAGAGAGCUAGCCUUGCCCUCUCCUGCCUCCCGAAACAGCUCGAGGAGCACCAUUGUAGCCACUUUGCUUUAGUGAUCAUGCGGAGACCCCGCAGAGCAGCAGUAGGGGUGUUAUCUCCUAGGAGAGCCUUGAAGCUGGGUAAGUUCCGCCGGCGUGCAUGUCUUCGCCUCAUCCCGCUUCCAGGCACCGGCGACGUUCUACUCGCUCCCACCAUGAUAAGCCAUCCUUUGGCAUAUGUCGUACCCAACCCCUGACAUUUGGCGCCCACCGUGCGGCGAGGUGCACCGUCGUCCGGAGAUCAGCUCUGGACGGGAACCCUGUUCCUCCCCGGCGAGCACAGCCAGCCCGGCACGCCGGAUGGCGUCUGUGCCGACGCGCUGCACGGCGCUGAGAUCGCCUGUGCGGCCAGCUGCCUCGCCGAUCUUAUCAGUGAGGUUCGCCUCUCUGAUGAGCCUGCGUCCGAUGCAGGCACGAGUGUUCCCGAGAGCCUCCUCGCGGGCCUCCUCGACCAACUCCACGUCGCCGGCGAGCCCGCCGCGGACCUGGAGUCCAUAGGAUCCACCGACCCGAUGCUGGUCGACUCCGACACCGCGUCGCUCGACGCGUUCCCCACCAACGUGGUGGUCUACGACGAGCCGCUCCCUUGCGCGGGGAGCGGCGGAAGCACCGUCACUAAGGUCCUCGUCCUCGAGCACGGCAAGCGCUUCGGCGAUGGAGCGCACGACCCGCUUGACGCGGCCCUGCGAGGCCUUGCAGCGCCGAUUCCGGAAGACGCCGACACCAAGACGUUGGAGGCGCUCCGCCUUCAGCUCGUCGAAGGCGCGAAGAAGCUGGCAAGCAUGAGGCGCUUGUCAGAAGCUUACCAACGCGAGAUGGAUCGCGCCGUAGGCGGCUCGCCGGCUCCGAUCGGGCCUAGCCGCCUAGGCGCGGUCCGACAGCGUGGCGUGGCGGUCGCCAACCUCUUCGGGGCUGAUCGCCCUGUGUAUGCCACGCCCGCAGAGAAUAUCCGCGCCGCCCAGGCGGCGGCAGACAAGCUCGACAACUUUGAAGGCGAAGAGCGCCACGUAAUGACAGAGCGAGUUCAGCAGCUCCUGGACGCGGCCGCCGCGCAGAAUGAUGCCGGCUGCCGUACCGAGGCGCCGCAGCGCCAAAACAACGACCCACCGCCUCGCCGAGACCAAGGUGCGACGUCUCAGACGCCGACUAGCGGGGCCCGCGGGAAGAAGGACAAGGAGCCGACUGUCAGCCACAGUCGGACUCACAUCACCAUCGAGCGCGACCAAGAUGGCCGCCCCAAAGCGGUGGAACGGCGGGACGACUACCUGCCUUCCCCCCCUCGCAGAGAAAGGCGAGUCUCCCCGCCACCCGUGGAACAUCCGACUCUCGGCGACCGCCUUGGCCGCCGAGAGGGAGUCGGAGAGAACGACGCCCGCCACCGGAUCGACCGACUCCACCGAUCCCUGGCGCUGGAAGAAGAAGACGAGUUGGGUCCCCCCUGCUUUGGACCCCGCAUCCGAGAUGAGCCCUUCCCCAAAGGGUUCAUGCUCCCCCGAGACACGCCCAAAUAUACCGGCACCGUGAAGCCGGAAGAUUGGCUGAUUGACUACUCCACCGCCGUCAACAUAGCGAACGGCAACAAGCGUGUCGCCGUAAGAUACGUCCCGCUCAUGCUCCAGGGCUCGGCCCGGAUGUGGUUGAACAGUCUGAAGCCUCGCAGCAUCAAUAGCUGGGUCGACUUCACCGAGGCUUUCGUCCACAACUUCACCAUCACGUACAAGCGACCUCCCAAGCCGCGCCAACUCUCCUUGUGUGUGCAAGGCCCUGACGAGUCUACUCGCGACUACCUCACGCGCUGGGGUGAACUCCGGAACUCCUGCGAGGGUGUGCACGAGGUGCAAGCCAUCGAGUAUUUUACUGCCGGGUGCAGAGAAGGCACCCUCCUCAAGCACAAGCUCCUCUGCGACGAGCCGGAGACCCUCGACGAGCUACUGAUCACAGUGGACAAAUACGCCACGGCCGACUCCUCCAUGAAGGCAGAGAUUCGGGUCAUUACGACUGGCAAAGUCGCCCCUCAGGCUCCAAGAACUCCGGCUGGAGACACCAGUUGGCGGCAACAGCAGAAUGACCAAAAGCGAAAAGCCCCGCAGUCGACUUCCAACAGUCGGCAAGUGGCAACAGCAGAAGACUAGCAGUUGGAGGGACCGCCCCCGGCAAAGCGACAGAAGGGCGGCAAGUCCAACUGGCUGCCGGCCUUCUCCUAUGAGCAGACUCUAGACGGUCCCUGCAAGUUCCACAGCGGCGCGAAGCCGUCAAACCACACCACCAGGAAAUGCCACUGGCUAACCAGAAUCGCCAAGGGGGACGGCCUGCUCCCUCCCCCUCCUGCUGGGCCGCCUCCUCCAUAGCCGCCCCAGCAGCCGGCCGUCAGGCCAGUCGGCGCAAUACAAGACGAGUUCCCGGAUGAGCACGGAGCCUAUGUGGUGUUCACCAGUGUAGCCGAUGACCGACGCAGCAGACGCCAGCAGCAGCAAGAAGUGAAUGCGGUUGCAUCAAGUUCCCCAGAGUUCCUGCAUUGGUUUGAAAGGCCUAUCAGUUGGAGCAGAGCUGAUCACCCAGAGGUGAUGCCGAGUCCGGGCUCCUAUGCCUUGGUCUUAGGCGCCACACUCACCACUGAUAGGCGGUCCGCUCACUUCUCGCGAGUACUGAUAGACGGAGGCAGCAGUAUCAACAUCCUGUACAAGGAUACAAUGGAGAAAUUAGGAAUCAAGCGAAGACAGCUUCAGAGCAGCCGGACUGUGUUCCACGGAAUUGUUCUUGGCCUUUCCUGCUCGCCAAUCGGCAAGAUCCUGAUAGAUGUCCUCUUCGGAGACAAGGAUCAUUUCCGCCGAGAGCCAAUUUGGUUUGAGGUGGUGGACCUUGAAAGCCCGUACCAUGCAUUGCUUGGCCGACCCGCCUUGGCCAAGUUCAUGGCGGUCCCCCACUACGCCUACUUCAAGAUGAAGAUGCCGAGUUCCAAGGGAAUCCUAACCGUGUCCGGUGACUACAGGAAGUCGUCCGCUUGCCCGGCCGAAAGCAGUCGGCUGGCCGAGUCCUUGGUGAUCGUAGCUGAGAAACGGCUUCUUGAUCGGGUCGUGGCGAUGGCCGGCAAGCAGCCCGAGUUGUCGCCCGACCCCAAGGAGUCGGAAGCAGAAGGAUCAUUCAAGCCAGCCAGAGAAACAAAGAAGAUACCGUUGGACCCGGAGCACCCGGAGAGGUACGCUGUCAUGGGCACAGGCCUUGACAGCAAAUAGGAAGGCGAGCUCGUCGAUUUCCUCCAUGAGAAUCGCGACAUCUUCGCAUGGUCCCCCAAGGACAUGCCUGGUGUCCCGACAGAAUUCACCGAGCACAAAUUACACGUCCGAUCUGAUGUGAAGCCCGUCAAGCAGCCCUUGCGCCACCAGUCAGAAGAAAAAAGAAGAGUUGUUGGAGAAGAGAUAGCCCGGCUCUUGGCAGCCGGCUUCAUCAUGGAAGUGUUUUUUCCAGAGUGGCUGGCAAACCCAGUACUGGUGCUGAAGAAGAACAAGCAGUGGCGGAUAUGCAUUGAUUACACGAGCCUCAACAAAGCUUGCCCCAAGGACCCAUUUGCUCUGCCGAGAAUAGAUCAGGUGAUAGACUCCACAGCCGGAUGCGAGCUGUUGAGUUUCCUGGACGCAUAUUCAGGAUAUCACCAGAUCAAGCUGAACCCGGUCGACAGGCUGAAGACCGCCUUCAUCAUGCCGUUUGGAGCCUUUUGCUACCUAACCAUGACGUUCGGCUUGAGAAACGCUGGCGCCACCUUUCAGCGUUGCAUGCAGAAAUGCCUCCUGAAGCAACUCGGCAGAAAUGCCCACGUCUAUGUGGAUGACGUAGUGGUGAAGACGGAGAAGCGUGGAACCUUGCUGGAGGACCUCAAGGAAACAUUUGGGAAUCUGCGCCGAUUCCAGAUCAAGCUCAAUCCAGAGAAGUGCGUUUUGGAGUACCAGCCGGCCAGCUCCUCGGUUUCCUGGUCUCCGAACGCGGCAUAGAGUGCAAUCCUGUGAAGGUCAAGGCCAUCGAGAGGAUGGAAGCACCCAGACGACUGUUAGAUGUGCAGAAAUUCACCGGCUGUUUGGCAUCCAUCAGCCGAUUCAUCAGUCGGCUGGGCGAGAAGGCUCUCCCCUUGUAUCAGCUCAUGAAGAAGACGACCUUCUUUGAGUGGACUCCCAAGGCGGACGAGGCUUUUCUCUAGCUAAAGAAAAUGUUGACUAUUCCCCCUGCGCUGGCGGCUCCGACUCCCAAAGAGCCCAUGCUCCUCUACAUUGCCGCCACCAGCCGAGUAGUCAACACAGUCAUUGUAGUCGAGCGCAAGGAGGAGGGCAAGGCGCUACCUGUCCAGAGACCGGUAUAUUACUUGAGCGAGGUGCUGUCGGCCUCCAAGCAGAACUACCCCCAUUACCAGAAGAUGUGCUACGGCGUGCAUUUCGCCGCCAAGAAAUUGAAGCCCUACUUCCAGGAGCACCCAAUCACCGUGGUCUGCACAACUCCACUGGCCGACAUCAUCGGAAGCCGAGACGCUUCUGGCCGGGUGGCCAAAUGGGCCAUCGACCUGGCCCCCUACACCAUCUACUACGAGCCCCGCACCGCCAUCAAGUCGCAAGCACUGGCUGACUUCCUCGUCGACUGGGCCGAGACCCAGUAUCUGCCACCAGCGCCCGACUCCAUCCAUUGGCGGAUGCACUUUGACGGCUCCAAGAUGCACACCGGCUUGGGAGCCGGCGUCGUCCUCACUUCCCCCAAGGGCGACAAGCUCAGAUAUGCGCUGCAGAUCCACUUCGCCGCCUCCAACAACGUGGCCAAGUACGAGGCGCUCAUCCACGGGCUCCGGCUUGCCAAAGAACUCGGCAUUCGCCGAAUCCUGUGUUAUGGCGACUCUGACUUGGUGGUCCAACAAUCAUCUGGCGAUUGGGACAUCAAGGAUGCAAAUAUGGCGAGCUAUCGUUUCCUCGUCCAGCAACUCAGCGGAUACUUCGAGGGGUGUGAGUUCCUCCACGUGCCAAGAAACGACAACGACCAAGAAGACGCCUUGGCACGAAUCGGCUCCACCCGCCAGGCAAUACCAUCUGGUGUCGCCCUCCGGCGCCUCCUCAAGCCUUCUAUCAAGCCAUCACCAGAAUCAGAUUCAAUCUUUGUGCCGGCUCCGCCUGAGGAAGAUGGAUCCGACUCCAAGAAACGCACAGUCGAAGCCGGCCCGGGGACUUCAGAACCCGGCCCGGGGACUGCAGUGGCGAGAUCGAAGACUCUAGAGCUCGGCCCGGGGACUGCUCCAGUCGGCCCCGGGACUUUGUCAAAUCAGCAAGCGGCUGCGGACUCCAACCCGCCGCCUCCCAGCCCGGCCGCCCUUAUCCAAGUCGCACUAGUGGUAGUUGAAGAAAUAGCAGCACCUUCAUGGGCUCAGCCCAUCCUCAGGUUCCUAGUAAACAAAGAACUGCCAACGGAUGAAAUCUUGGCUCGGCAAGUGCAACGCCGAGCAGCAGCCUACACCAUAGUCAACAGAGAGCUGGUCAGGCGCAGCGUUACCGGCGUCUUCCAACGCUGCGUCGAGGCAGAACAAGGUCAAGCAAUCCUCAGAGACAUCCAUGAAGGUGAGUGCGGUCACCACACGGUCUCCAGGGCACUCGUCGCCAAAGCCUUCCGGCACGGUUUCUUCUGGCCAACCGCCCUGGAAGAGGCCAAAGAGUUAGUCCAAAAGUGCAAGGGGUGCCAGAUUUUCCGUUCCAAGCCAUUUCAGCCAGCUUCUGCACUCAAGACUAUCCCCAUCGCCUGGCCCUUUGCAGUCUGGGGCCUGGACAUGGUCGGACCAUUCAAGACGGCACGAGGUGGCUUGACUCACCUACUUGUCGCAGUAGACAAGUUCACCAAGUGGGUGGAGGUGAAACCCAUCAAGAAGUUGAAUGGUCCGACUGCAGUGACCUUCAUCGCUGACAUCACAACUCGGUACGGCAUCCCACACAACAUCAUCACCGACAAUGGCAUGAAUUUCGCCAAAGGCGCCUUGGCCCGUUUCUGCGCGACACAGGGCAUCCGACUGGACUUAGCGUCCGUUGCCCAUCCGCAGUCAAACGGCCAGGUGGAGCGAGCAAACGGCCUCAUCUUAUCCGGCAUCAAGCCUCGACUCGUCGCACCGCUGGAGUGAUUUGCCGGCUGUUGGCUCGAGGAGCUGCCAGCCGUCCUCUGGAGUCUGCGCACGACUCCAAACAAGUCAACCGGCUUCACACCUUUCUUCCUCGUCUAUGGCGCCGAAGCCGUCAUCCCAACGGACAUAGAAUUUGACUCCCCGCAAGUCACCAUGUACACCGAGGAAGAAGCAGAAGAAGCACGUCAAGACGGCAUCGAUCUGCUGGAAGAAGGCUGGCUGUUGGCACUCAGCCGGUCUGGCAUCUACCAGCAGAGCCUGCGUCGAUACUACAAUAGGAAGGUCAGGCCAAGAUCUUUCCAAGAAGGCGACCUUGUGCUCCGGUUGAUCCAGCGAACAGCCGGCCAGCACAAGCUAUCGGCACCUUGGGAAGGCCCCUUUAUCAUCAGCAAGGUGCUAGGGAAUGACGCCUACUAUCUGAUCGACGCUCAGAAGCCCCGAGCGCGCAAGAGGGACGAUUCCGGCAAAGAGACAGAGCGCCCGUGGAAUGCAAAUCUUCUUCGAAGAUUUUACAGUUGAUGCAGUAUGUAUCGCACUACCCCUUUUGUAUUAAAGUACUAAGACUUUGGGCCCCCCGAGAUGAGCUCGGGGACUGCCCUUUUUGCUAUCUGUAUGACAAGAAUUGUGCCUCUGAGUACAUUACUUUCAUUGCAAGCCGCUUGGCACCGGGCCAAACUAGUCGGCCCGGGGACUCGCCGCCUUGCGCUAUGAGAGCUUCCCGUAGUCAGAAAAGUAGUGUGCGGUGCCCAAUCCGCCUCCCGACAGAGCCGCAGUUCGCAGAGCGACUGUGAGGCGGGCGGGAGCGAGGAAGAACGGGCGCCCACACGAAAAAUGGCUAAGGACCUAAAGCACAAACAUAGCGUAAGACAACCUCCAGCAUUUCCGAAGCGGAAAGCCGACUCAUGGGUAGCCGGCUCGCCGUCUUUAUUAGCCCCUAUUAAGAAUGGCCGACUCCUGGGUAGUCGGCCUGUCACUUUCUAUCCGACUUGCUAAAGAAACUCUAAACGGCCAAGUACUUGCCUUCUCGAAGUAGCCAAGCACUUGACCCAGCAACAGUCCGCAGAGCGGCUGCCCGACUGGCAAGGCAGCGACUAAAGGAAGGCGGCAAAAAGAAAAUCCUAAAGAGCAGUAAGCAAGGAAAGACGGAAAGCAGAUUAAUAUUUACAUAGGCCCUUGGCCGAAUCUUUGAAUAGAAGUUCAAGAUACACCGCGCGGGUGGAAUUUUUCAAAUCUAACAAAGUUUCAAAAGAUUACUUAAGGCAGACAAGCAGAGGCGGAAACAACAGCUUAGGAGGCGGCAUCUGGGAUUGGAGGGUCGGAGGAGAUGGCGGUGUCAGGCGCCGGGGCAGUCGGCUGGGCGGUCUCGGUUUGAUCGCCUCCGGCGGCAGUCGCCUUCUCUUGACGCGGCUCGUUGCUGGAGGCGCGGUCGAGCUGAGGCUGGCUGCCUGCUCCAUCUUCUGGCACCUCCGCCUCGCCUUCGGCCUCCGCCUCGUCCUCCUCCUCGGUGCUAGAGUCGAUCACUUCCGCCGAGUCCUCGCCAUACUCCGGGUUCAUCCCGAACCACUCUGUCGGCACUUCCUCGCCGCCUUCAGCCCGCUCGGGAUGAAGACACUGGUGUCCGUGUACUCGGCGAUGGCCGCCGCACGCUCGAUAAGGGCGCCCUCCACGGCUUCCAGCUCGGCCUGGGCUUCUGACCGGAACGCGGCCAGAUGGUCCAGGUCCAGCCCUGGAUACCACGCCUUGAUGAACUCCAAGGCCCGGCGCGCUCCGGCCCGGGCCGAGGAGCCCUUCCAGGCCUCAAGACGGCCGGCAGCGACUUCCAGCCAGUCGGCGGUCUGACUGGCGGUGCACAGAGCCGCCAUGUCCGGCCACAAAGUGGCAACCGCCUGGGCGCCGGCACGCUGAAGCCGGCGCAUCUACCGGUGGGCCGGACGAAGACGGGCUUCAAUGCUCAGGAGCUGUUCAUCGACGGUUCGGGGGGCAUUAGCGGCGAUCUCCUCACCAUUUGCCCUUCGUGCCUCACGAGCAGCCUCGAUGGCCAGAGGGACCACCUGCGAGUGACCAAGGAAGAAGUCUGCCAAGACAAAAAAGAAGCAGGCCGAAAAAUCAGAAGUCGGCCUGGCACAUAGUCGGAAGCCCGAAGAAACGAAAGAAACGUACCAUCAACAAUAUCCUUGAUCUCGUGGAAGCCGGAGGUCAGCAUCGCCUCCCUGUCAGUCCAGGAGGAGCGCUCGCUCUCGAACUCGGCCAGGAGAGCGGCUUCCUUCUUCUCGGCCUCGUCCUGCGCCUUCUUGAGCAACUCCUUCUGCUCGGCCAGCUGCGCCGCCAGCAGGUCGCGCUCUGUGGCGAGCCUGCCACACUCCUCCUCCUUGACACGACGGGCAGUAUUGGCCUCGCCCAGCUGCUCCUGAAGAACGGCGUUGGCUUCUGAGGAGCGAAAGAAGAGACAAAUAAGUCGUCAGCAAAGAAGAUCGCCGGGAAGAUCCGGCCCGACUGCUCAGCAGUUGGCCCGAAUCUCGGGGACUACAGCCCGCGGGUGCGCCAGCGCGCCCCCGCGGGGAAGAAGAACUCACUCCGGCUUUCCGACAAGUCGGCAGCCCGCUUGCUCAACUCCUCAACAUUGCGGUUGAAGGCAGUGGCGCGGAGGUUGUGAUACUCCUGCAAUAAGUCAUUGAAGACAAAGUUAGUGUUUGGAACUCGCCAGAGGGAGUUCCGAACCGCCUGCUCAGCAGCCGGCCCGGAACUCGGGGACUACACCCAGUGGGUGCGCUGGCGCGCCCCCACAGAGAGAAACAAGAAUCAAAAAGGAAAAGAAACUUACUCGGACGGCCAUUCGCGCGGCCAGGUGCGCUCUGGUGCAGGCUUGAAGGGCGUCGCCUUCGGCCCGCAACUUCGCCUGGACUUCCAGGAGCAAUUGAUUUAGUGGCCCCGUGCCGCCUCCGCGCACCCACUCGAUGGGCGCGGCGCUUUGGCCUCGGCGUCUAGGGCUACCGAGCUGGCAGCGCCGGUCUCCCGAGGUCGCGGCAUCGAGGUCGCCCUCUCAAGACGGCGACGCGCCGGCGAGGCGACUUGGAGAAGCAGCCGUGCCUCGGCCUCGUCCAUAGUCGGCGGCUCCGACGGACCCAUCGGUUGUUUGCCAUGCGGUCUCCCAGACGACGGUGGUGGCACGAGAGUGUUCGACAUGGAUGCCUCACCGCUCUCCUUCUCCACGACGGGGUUCUCGGUGCCGGCCUCCCCGGUCUGCCCCGUGAACUCCAGAGGCGGCGGUGCAGAUGAUAGUGGGGGGACGAGCAUCGCCGAUCGGCAACGCGCGGCCUCCUCGGCACGCCGUCUCGCUGCAAGGGCGGCUUCAGCAUCAUCCAGCUUCUUCUGGGCGGAGGCGGCCGCCCUGUCGGCCUCCACCUUCUCCAGACGUUCGGCCUCCUCCUCCUCGCGCUUCUCCCGCGCAUUCCACUCCGUCGCCUCCUGGAGGUCGGCGGCGGGGUCGGGCCGCCGAGUAUUGGCGGACGUCUCUGCCGACACCAUGACGGAGGGGACGACAACUCUCUCAAGGGAAAGAGGGGCCCUGAAGAAGAGUGGAGCGAGUAUAUAACAAAAAGACUCGGACAAGAUUCAACAAGGGAAAAUAAAAAAGCAUAAAGACUCAUGUAGAGACUAGCGGCGGCUUUCUCACUUCCCUUCGGAAGCGUUGGCCUUCGCGGCCGCCUCCUCUCGUCUGGUCGCGGCGGCCACCCCCUUGAACUUCUUCAAUUUGCCACCGGGCGCACUCGGCCCGACGUGACGCCUCUUCGCGCCGCCUUGGCCGGCCGGGCCGUCGGAGGAGCCGGCGCCCAGCGGGCCGAUCCUCAGCUGGUGGCGCGGAGCGACUUCGCCUUCGGCGUCGUCAUCAGGCCAGUCGGUGAAGGUGGCUGAGGGCCUGAAGUCGCCUUCUGCUCCUCCUCCCCCGCCUUCGGCGUCGGCUUCCGUCGCCGCCGCCCCCAAGUCGGGGUCGUCAAUGUCGCUCUCCGCGCGGUCGGGAACAUACUCGCGGGGCGGUCUCGUGGCGCCGGCGGCGGGCUGCAUAAGAGAAUUCUAGUUCAGAAGAGGCCAGCAAGAGUCAGAAGCCGGAGUCGGCUGCGAAAAAAAAGACAAAACGAUAGGGGGACGCAACUUACCACUGGUGGAGGAUUGUCGCGCGAGUGCGGCUCCUUGCUGAACCGCCAGUCCUCCUCGAACUCGCAGUGCGCGAUGUAAUUCACCAUGUUUGCCACCUCCUUGCGGGGCAUCUCCUUGGUGCUCAUCCGACUCGGGUCUCCGAGGCCGCUCAUCUGACAGAUCAGGUGAGGCCGG
rnacentral:lncRNA from 1 species